UAAUUUUCGACUAGUGACCAACUGCAGACGGAAGAUCCUAGAGAAAAAUUAAAGGAAGAGACCAAAGGGUGAAAGCAUUUAUAAGAGUCGAUGAUAAAAAACAGCUUAUAAAUCCACCAAGAAUACAAGAGAAAGUAUUCAAGGAGCUAAAGAAAAUCUCACUUUAGACCCCUAAGGACCUCGAAUUAAAGAAA
ncrna:unclassified sequences IMES-1 RNA motif